CAGCUUCAAAUUACCUACAGGUGGUGCUCAUCAGAGUGUGUGCUGCAGACGGUGCUGCUACAAAAGAGCAGAGUGAACACUGCUUGAGCAGGCUAACUUCUCGCCCUGCUCCAGACUGGCAUUGUGGUUCUUGUUGAUGGUGCAAGGUUAAAAUAGUUGUUUUUCAAGUGAUAAGACCUGAAAUUUUAGUUAACCUGUUACUCCCAACCCUAGACUGGGCAAGGGGAUCGUAACAAGUGGGGGCUCGUCUGUUCGUCUUUUAAUUGGAUAUUGGUAAGUACUCUCUUUCUCGCAAAUUGUUUGACUGUUUUCGACUUUACUGAGUACAACUGAGGCCUUUAAUCGUUGUAAGAAAAAAGAUCUUAUUUUGGUGGCAGAGUUCUUCCAUAUUGACAUUCGAAAAGAUGUUACAAAACAAGUGCUUAAGGAUGACCUGUUUGGGAAAUUGGUAAAUGCGGGUAUUUUACCAGAAGAGUCUGAGGGUGGUGUUGAGGUUCAGUCUGAAGCGGUAGUGGAAACUGCAGCUGAAAAUUUGAAUCUCAGCUCUGGCUCUGUGGUGUCUCAUGAUCCUAGGAUUGCCAUAAAGUUAAAGGAAAUGGAGCUUUUGAUUAAAAAACAGGAAUGUGAGGUGGAAAUGAUUAGGCUUCGUGUAGUAGAGAAGCAGGCUGACCGAGAUAUCCAAAUACGUAAAUUGGAUCUCGAAGCAAAGCAACUGGCUCAAAAGCCAGUCCCAUCCCCACGUACUAGACCUCCAGUCUCAUCACCCUUAAAGUCUUCUGGCAGUACAGACACGCAGGAUUUUUCUCAUUAGUCUUCCAGUGAUACUUUUGAUGUUAGUAGGUGUAUAUAAGACUUGUGCCUCCGUUCAGAGAGACAGAAGUCGAUUCCUACUUUGUCGCAUUUGAACGUGUCGCUGGUAAGUUAAGAUGGCCAAAAGAUAUGUGGGCUCUGUUACUCCAGUGUAGCCUAACAGGGAAAGCACAGGAAGUUUGCUCUGCCCUUCCUAUAGAAAGCUCUCUUGACUAUGACAUCGUUAAGUCUGCAGUUUUGCGAGCAUAUGAACUUGUCCCUGAGGCCUAUAGACAGAUUAGUGAAAAUUAAUUUUUAAUUGUUGUGUAUAUGGGGUGGAAAAAAAAGAAUAGCUGGAUCAAAAUCUUAUUUGUUGAGCCAGAGGCUAAAGCUGAUUACUCCAGUGGUUGCAGUCAUGAUCAGCACAUGUUGCAUACACAAAUGUGGUACCACACUUUUAAAUAAAGCUGUCUGAUGAUUUCAGCAAUCGCUUGGCUUUGUUCAAGUUUUAUUUUAAUUAGAACACACAGAUGACAAACUCAGGCAGGUGAAACAAGCAGAAAGGG
ensembl:lncRNA